rnacentral:rRNA from 1 species
UACAGAGACUGCAAGCGUUAUUCGGAUUCACUGGGCGUAAAGGGUGCGCAGGCGGCCGUGUGUGUGAGGCGUGAAAGCCCGGGGCUUAACCCCGGAAUUGCACCUCAAACUACAUGGCUAGAGCAUUGGAGAGGGUAGCGGAAUUCACGGUGUAGCAGUGAAAUGCGUAGAUAUCGUGAGGAACACCAGAGGCGAAGGCGGCUACCUGGACAAUUGCUGACGCUCAGGCACGAAAGCGUGGGUAGCAAACAGG